UGGGGAAUCUUGCGCAAUGGGGGAAACCCUGACGCAGCAACGCCGCGUGAGUGACGAAGGCCUUCGGGUCGUAAAGCUCUGUCAGAUGGAAAGAAUUAAUUCGCUGAAAAUAUUGGCGAGUGAUGACGGUACCAUCAGAGGAAGCACCGGCUAACUCCGUGCCAGCAGCCGCGGUAAUACGGAGGGUGCAAGCGUUGUUCGGAAUUAUUGGGCGUAAAGCGCGUGUAGGCGGGAAGACAGGUCAGGUGUGAAAUCCCUUGGCCCAACCAAGGAACUGCAUCUGAAACCAUUUUCCUCGAGUACGAUAGGGGAUGGCGGAAUUCCCAGUGUAGAGGUGAAAUUCAUAGAUAUUGGGAGGAACACCAGUGGCGAAGGCGACCAUCUGGAUCGAUACUGACGC
rnacentral:rRNA from 1 species